rnacentral:rRNA from 1 species
CCUACGGGACGCAGCAGUGGGGAAUAUUGGACAAUGGGCGAAAGCCUGAUCCAGCCAUGCCGCGUGUGUGAAGAAGGCCUUCGGGUUGUAAAGCACUUUCAGUGGGGAAGAAAGCCUUGGGGCUAAUACCCUCGAGGAAGGACAUCACCCACAGAAGAAGCACCGGCUAACUCCGUGCCAGCAGCCGCGGUAAUACGGAGGGUGCGAGCGUUAAUCGGAAUUACUGGGCGUAAAGCGCGCGUAGGCGGUCUGAUAAGCCGGUUGUGAAAGCCCCGGGCUCAACCUGGGAACGGCAUCCGGAACUGUCAGGCUAGAGUGCAGGAGAGGAAGGUAGAAUUCCCGGUGUAGCGGUGAAAUGCGUAGAGAUCGGGAGGAAUACCAGUGGCGAAGGCGGCCUUCUGGACUGACACUGACGCUGAGGUGCGAAAGCGUGGGUAGCAAACAGGAUUAGAUACCCCUGUAGU